rnacentral:rRNA from 1 species
CCUACGGGAGGCAGCAGUGGGGAAUAUUGCACAAUGGGGGAAACCCUGAUGCAGCGACGCCGCGUGAGUGAAGAAGUAAUUCGUUAUGUAAAGCUCUAUCAGCAGGGAAGAAAAUGCCGGUACCUGAGUACGAAGCCCCGGCUAACUACGUGCCAGCAGCCGCGGUAAUACGUAGGGGGCAAGCGUUAUCCGGAUUUACUGGGUGUAAAGGGAGCGUAGACGGCAGUGCAAGUCUGGAGUGAAAGGCGGGGGCUCAACCCCCGGACUGCUCUGGAAACUGUACGGCUGGAGUGCAGGAGAGGUAAGUGGAAUUCCUAGUGUAGCGGUGAAAUGCGUAGAUAUUAGGAGGAACACCAGUGGCGAAGGCGGCUUACUGGACUGUAACUGACGUUGAGGCUCGAAAGCGUGGGUAUCAAACAGGAUUAGAUACCCCGGUAGUC